rnacentral:lncRNA from 1 species
AUGUUAGUAUAAUUUGGAAAUCCCUCCAGAAAUGCAGAAAUACAGAUCUCAUUUCCCCCAAAAACCAAAUGGGGGCUUUUCCAGCCUACCCGACGCCCUCUUCCCAAAAUCACUUCUCCGGCAAGUUUGAUGCGGUGAUUUUCCCUCUCCCUUCCAAACUCGGCUCUUUUCUCUUUCGUAUCUCCUCUCCUUCGUAUCUAGCCAAAAUCUAUGCAUCUACCCAAACCCUAGUGAAUCGAUUAAAUGCAAACAACUCAAAUUUUUUGCUUUCUUCUCUGAAGAGGCAAAAACCCUAACCCCUUUGUCUACCAUUCCUUCAACCAUUUUGGUAUUCAGGUUGCUGUUCUUCAUAAUUCCUGACUUGCUGGUGAGGGUUUAGAUCUUCAUUAUGCAGAGGGUAAAUCGCACAAAAUCCAGACAGGCAACCUCCCUCUUCCACCUUAUUCUGUAUAUGUUUUUCAUAUGUAGCUGAUUGAUGUUUUCGGAAUUUCCAUUUUCAUAUUGGUGAAUGUGCUUGAGUAGCGUAUGUGCCUUCCUUUUUUCCUUUUUAUGUGAUGCCUUCUUGAUCUGUCUAAUCUUCUUUAUACUUGUUAGGAUUGAAGUUCUUAGGUGUCAGAGAAAUUUGUUGAAUCUUGCUCUUGAAAACAAUGUAUUCAUUUUCUUUUAGCCUCUAUCUUAUGAAAUGUAAAUGAUUGUAUUUUUUUUCUUACUGUUUUAAACAAAAGAAAAAGUAAAGCAUGUAUUCUUUUGGCUUUCUUUUGUAACGGAAAGUUUAAUUAUUGGUAGAGCACUCCAGUAAAUAUCAUUGUAGCUUCUCAUGUGUGGAUUGAGGACCAACCAAUGUUGCUUGGUUUGUUGGAGAAAGGUAAAUAUGUUAGUAUUACCUUGUUGAUUGGUGGUGGAUGUAGUUGAUGUUAGAUGGUAGUUAUGGGUCGUUCAAAGUUUAGAUACUCUAGCAGUUCUAUGUCCAUAUACUCAUGAGUUUGUUGUGUCCUUGUUACUAGCUGUCCUUAUUUUUAUGCAUUUCUGCAGAAUAUUGAACAGGGAAAGAGCUGCAAACUAAUAUGUUAUGUACAUUCACAAGAAUCAAUUAAUCUAUCUGUAGCUUUAACCGGUUCAAAUAGACUAAAGAAGCUGGGUACUUUCUGAAAUAGUAUAAGUAUCAUAUACUAUAUAUGUAGUUGUCUAUAUUUUCCAACUUUUCAACUAGUUUAUGUGAAUUGCGUAGCAUUACGAGCUGAUGGACCAGGGCAUUGUGGUUUAUUUAUAAUAGAAUCAAAGUUAGUAUCUUAGAUAAUAUUAACAUAUUGUAGGACAUAGGAUAUACAUGCUAGUUAAAUUUCAGAAAAGUUAAUCAUCAAUGGACCAUUAUUCCAUGUUUGUGCUCUUAUUUUACUACGUUUUAUUUUGCCAUGUGCUUCUGUGAAGUUCUUCCCGAUCCAUCUAUAUGGAUAACCUUCCAUUUGAGCGUCUUUGAUGAUCUUGUUCAAUGUGAAUAAAUUUAUUACUAUGUAUGUCUGUAGAGUGCUGUUUUGUCGAAGGUAAGUAGUAGGAAAUGCAUUUCGAUGGAAAGAAACCAUCAGACCAUGGGUAAAGAGGCAUGAGCAUUUUUAGCGAUGGUUACCACUACGGUGAUGGUUAUUCUUGGGACGUGCUUCCUUCUAAGGUUAGCUUCUUGGUUGUUGCAAUUAUCACACAAAUCAAAUAUAAUGGACUGAAGAAAUUCAGCUUAUAAAUGGUUAACCUCUCUAGUAGACUAAAUUGAAUAAUGAAUGUCUUUGUUAAUUUUUGGAGCUGCUUUUAGAAGUUAGUAUACAUUUAUGGUGCCUGAAGAUCUAUUUCAAUUAGCUAAUGCAUUUGAACUUUUUGUUUUGCCUUUGUAGCCCUUUUGGUACAAAUGUUCCUGGUUCUAUCACUCCAUCCCUCAUUCUUGACAACAAGAUGUUAGCCCUUUCAGUAAGUUUCUUUUAAAUGCGUGGUAAAAUUUAGUAUUAAUAUCUCUUACUCUAUUGCUGAUCACCACUUAACGGUUUCAUCUCUGACAAGAAAGCAUGGUGUGAGUUUACAACAUGGGAUAAGAAUAGACAUUCCUUAAUGAGAAAAUAUUUUUUUUUGUAUUUUGAUGCAAGAUAUACUAAUUGUUGGGGAGGCAGAUGAAUCAAAGAUAACACUGAGAAGGGAACUAUGAUCAAUCUUCCUUCUAAUAGAUUCACAUAACUGAAUAUGUUUCUGGACCCUCUGGUUGCACAAACAGUUUUGAGUUCAAAAUUUAAUAGUACUUAUUUCCCAAGGCAUACAGUGCAAAUUCAGUUUAAGCCCUGAAUAUCUUGACAAUCACUUGGCACAGUUCUGUAGUUCUAACUGACGUUUCUUUUUAUAUGCUUUCCUUUAGUACUUGACUUAGCAUCAACACUUUUUUUUAGUGCACAUUAUAUUAAUGUUCUUUGUUUUUUCAAUAGCAAGGAUAAAGUACUUCAACAACUGGAAAAUAAAAUGAAGUUGCUCGAAGACAAGUUUGAAGAUAUGAUCCUUUGUAUUUUUUCUUAAAAUAGCAGUAUAAAGUUCUUCAACAAGUAGGAGCUCAAAACAUUUGAUUUCUUUUUUUUCUCUUUCCAUGUGCAUAUACAAAGUACAAUGUAUUAUGGAGCGUCGUAUACUUUGAUGUAUAGACUAUUUGGUAAUGAAAACUUCGUACAUAAUUUUGUUUAAGCGUAUUUGAUGGUUUUCAUGAUUAUUUUUGUCAUGUUGAGCAGCUAGCAGGAAUAAUGAUGCCCAUUAAAUUAUUA